GUCCACGCCCUAACGAUGACGACUGGAUGUCGGAAGGGUCUGCCUUUCGGUGUCGUAGCUAACGCGUUAAGUCGUCCGCCUGGGGAGUACGGCCGCAAGGUUGAAACUCAAAGGAAUUGACGGGGACCCGGCACAAGCGGUGGAGCAUGUGGUUCAAUUCGAUGCAACGCGAAGAACCUUACCUGGCCUUGACAUCCGCGGAACUUGGCAGAAAUGCCUUGGUGCCUUCGGGAAUCGCGAGACAGGUGCUGCAUGGCUGUCGU
rnacentral:rRNA from 1 species